CCAUGGCUGUUGAAACAUCGUUGUCUGCUUGUUUAAACACACAAGGCUGAUGAUAUGUCUCAACUUCUUCCUCUUGUGUUUAUCCUUUUUCCGCAUGUGUUUUUGUGAGAAGCAACUUCACUUAUAUGGCACAAAAUGUCAACUAACUUUCCUUUCCUACCAUAAACUCCCCUUUUGGGACCUGGAUAUUUCUGACAUUCUAAAAGCUUCUUCCAUCCAUUGACUUCUCUACUCCUGCAAAUGUGAAUCACAGCAAGCUCCAAGAUCGAGAUCAUGGAUAUUUCCUGCUUAGAAGCUAGGUACCUCUCUGUGUUUUUCCCUCUCUGAUCUCUGUCUCCUUUCAUGGCUGUUGUUGUUGCUAAUUUUGGCUGCAAAUUAUGGGUUAUUGAGCAUCUGGGUAUGAACAUGGGUAUAAUUGCUAAUUUUGGACCGUUUAGUUGGAUUUAAUGAUGGUUGUGACUGGAAUUGGAGAAUUUGUACGUGAAAGUUUGAGAGAGAAAGUUGUCGUGGGUAUAAUUGAAUUCACAGCUGAAACAGUCGACUACACUGUAUGGAAUUUUCUUCUGUACUUUUGGCUUCUUUUUUCUUUUUUGGUUAUUAAUUGGAGUCAAGGAUGUCAACUUUGUUUAAUUGAAUCAUGGAUGGGAAGUAGAAAUGAUGACUCUCGAUUUAAUGAUCUCGAGCUGUUUGUGGAUUGGCAUAAUAUAUAUAUAUAUAUAUAUUUAAAUAUAAUGAUAAGUUCAAUUGAAUAUCACUCACACCUCAUUACAGAAAGGGGCUUUGUGUGAUUGAAACGGUGAAAAGGCUAUAAUUCUUGAAUCAUAGAAAUUCGUGUGGCACAAAUUUUAUUUCUACAGGUUGUUACUGUUAAUGUACAGACUGAAUUUUCCUAAUGCUCUGAGCUGAGAUGAAGUUCGGUAACUUGUUAUAUAGCAAGUUCCCUGCCAGUUCACUGAGUUCUUUUAGCACAUUUUGGAGGUGGAAAAGAAAGGAAUAGAUUUUAUAAGUAGUAGUGUUAAUAUCUUUAUUUAAGGUCUUGAUUGUUCGAAUACGUGACCAAUUGAUUUUGUUUAGCCUGUUUAUUCUUGCUAAUUAUGUUGUUCUUUUCUCUCUGGGCACUAGGUAUCUUGAUUCUUGCAGGCAGCACGAGGUGCUACCAAAUUCUGCAGUAUUAUCCUGGUUUUCUAAGGUCAGUUUAUUAAGGUUUACCUGGUUUCGUCGUCUUAGGUUUUUUUAUUAUUAUUAUUUUUUUUUUAUAUUGGGUUUGUUAUUGGUUUUAACCAUGUUUCAUACUACUCAUACUGUUGGUGGUGGAAAAAUGUUUAGCACUUU
rnacentral:lncRNA from 1 species